GACGAACGCUGGCGGCGUGGCUAAGGCAUGCAAGUCGAACGGACAUGUUCCAAGGGCAACUGCGGGACAUGUUAGUGGCGAACGGGUGAGGAAUACAUGGAUAACGUACCCUGGACACGGGAAUAGCGGCGGGGGCAACCCCUUUGCGAAAGUGCCGGUAAUACCCGAUGACCCCGCGGAAUCGCAUGGUUUUGCGGGCAAAUGCUCCGACGGUCUGGGAUCGGUUCAUGACCUAUCAGCUAGUUGGUGAGGUAACGGCUCACCAAGGCAACGACGGGUAGCGGGCGUGAGAGCGCGACCCGCCACAUCGGGACUGAGACACUGCCCCGGACACCUACGGGUGGCUGCAGCAACGAAUAUUCCGCAAUGGACGCAAGUCUGACGGAGCGACGCCGCGUGAGGGAUGAAGGUCUUUGGAUUGUAAACCGCUGUCACGCGUUGUGAAUGCGCAGCAGACAAUACCUGCUGCGUUGAC
rnacentral:rRNA from 1 species